AUGGAAGCAAAGAGGAUCCGGUCGGUGGGAGCGCAUCUGCACAUGAGCCGAUUUGGUCCAACGAGCAUGACCGUCUCACCCUCCCAAAUGAAAGGAUCCGCGAAAUAUCCCCACGGACCUCCUUCCCGAGCCGCAGCCACCCCGCAGCCGUCCAACCUCACUGCUGUUGUACCUCGCCGUCCUUUCUCCCGCCGGUGUUCUUCCCGAGGACGCCAGCCGCCCUCCUCAACCACUUUGCGUCGCCGUCGGCCGCAAGCAGCUCCCCAGCAGAUGAGCCCCGUCGCGCCCUCUCGUUCCUCUGUUUUUCCUCCUCUCAGUAUCUCAUAUCUCUCUCGUUCUCUCUCUGUACAGGAUGCAGCGUCACCCAUGGCCUUGUCUCCGGCCAGAACGAGCCUCCCCGUGCUCCUCCACCUCGCCUCCUCGGGCGCCCGCGCCUACUGCCGGCCGGCCACGGUCAGGUCGCCUCGCCUCCUCUCGCUCUCACUCCGGCCCUCUCUCUGUCCCUGCCGCUUGUCUGAAUUAUCCCUGCCAUGGCCCUGCAGUUCCUCCCCGCCUCGGAGCUCCCUUGCGCCGUCGGAUCCAAGACCCCCUCGCCCGGACCUGCCCGUUCCCGGCGCUCGCGUCGCCGUCAGCCACCCGUCGCCGGAGUUCCUGGUCGGCUCGCGCGCCGACCUUCAAGUCCCACGCCGCCGCGGCUCCCCCACUUCAACCGCUGCUACCUGCUUCGCUCGAUCAAGCUGUGUGUUGACCUCCAGCGCCAAGGCCCAGCGCGUCAGCCCUAAUCAACACAUCCUAGAAGAGAACUUUCACGGAGCAUUCUCUUACACCACUUUGGAAGAUGCCUCAGUCAAUACAAUGCUCACAAUAUCUAAUAUCAGGGAAGCCUUUCAAGUACCUCUCUCCAUGCAAGAUCAUGCAGAACUCAAUUCCAUUCUACUUGAUGUCAGCUCCACCACACUCAUUGAGAACAAAGAUACUUGGAUUUGCACCUCGGGGUCACCGAUAUUCAAAACUACAGCUUACUACAAAUUUUGUUUCAGAGAUGUAGUUGCACAUGAAGUGUUUGGUUGGCUCUGGAAGGCUAAAAGUGUCCCCAAAAUGGAAGUUUUUGGGUGGUUCUUAUUGGUAGAUCACCUCAACACGCAUGAUAUGUUGAAGAGGAGACACUACAACAUAGGGACCAAUCUAGACUGUCUACUUUGUGGAAACCAUGUUGAAGAAACGGUUUCCACUCUCCGCCCCCUCCCCCCUCACAUCUACAUGUACAUUGGACUAGGCGGCGACGACUAUGCUCGGCUAAAGCUAGUUAAACGCAGGAGCUACAGUACAUACAUAACCACACAUACGGGCACAAGGUACUACACCAAGGUUCAGAAGAAGCAGGGAAGCAGCGAGGUAGGCGAAGAAGAAGCAGCAGCAGAGGUACAGAGAGAAGGAGCAGCAAGAGAAGUUGGGGAGCGGCAGCAGGAAGUGAAGGGGAAGGAGCAGCAGGGGGACGUUGGGAGGAGGAGAGGUUCAGAGAAGAGCUUCGGCAAGGAAGAGCAGCAGGGGGCGCAGGAGAUGAAGAGCAGCAACAGCUUUAGGGGAAGCAGAGUAGGAGAAGCAGAGAGAGGAGCAGCAGCAGGGGCGUGGGAGAAGCAACGAGGCAGGGGAAUGAGCAGCAGCAGUCGGGCACAAGCAGAGGAGAGGACUUGCGCGGGGCACUAG
rnacentral:rRNA from 1 species